rnacentral:piRNA from 1 species
AAACGAAGCCUUUCUCAAUGUCUGUACU